ensembl:lncRNA
AACGAGUUCUGACUGUUAUAAUUGUAUACUGUAUAAGUGAACGUGUUCCUCAUUUUGUUUCACUUUUCUUCCAGGUAAAAAAGAAACAAGCUGAGCUGCAGCAGCUACAAAAAGAGAAUCAGAGCAGAGAGAAGAACCUGCAGAGUCUGAAGAAGCAGCUGGAGAACAAGAGUGAAGAGGUUCAUAUCUUCUAGAAAUGUCUGAUCAUUUCUGCUGUCAGAAACACACUGACUGGAUCAAAUACAUCUGGUUCACUUACAUCCUGAACCUAAAAACCCACUUGACUGUUCAUGAAGAUGCUGGUUUGUAUAAUCACCUACAUGAUCUGAUAUAGUAAUAUAGUGUCUAUUUAUCUAUUUCUCCCUCACAGCUCGACACAAUCAAAGCCAAAAAACAUCACUGGUACACUUUGAGGUCCACCAAGGAGGAACAUCAGGAGAAGAUAACAGAGGCUGAAAGAGAAGUGGAGUCAUUGAAGAAGCAGCUGGAGACCACAGAGACUAAAAUCAAAGAGUUUAAAAACAAACAAGCUGAAGUUCAGAAACUAAAGAAAGAGAUUCAAGAGAUGGAAACCGACCUUCAGAUGCUGUUGAAAAAUCAGGAGACCAACAACACAAAGGUGAAUCAACUAAAGACUGAAGUUCAGAAGCUCAAAGAGGAGAAACAGAGGAGUGAGGAUCAAAGACAGCAGCUGGAAAAGAAGCUGGAGACCAAGAAACUGAAUUAUUCUAGUUUAUUGUCUUCACUAUAAGUGAACAACCUUCACUUACUGUGACUCUGUAAAAUUGGUCCUUCAAACAUCCUCCUACUUAAAAGCUGAAAUAUUACAUUUAUUUUGUAUUAAUAUUUUACAAUAUCACCAUGCAAGCUUCCUCUAUUUUAUAUUAUUUAUUGUUGUAUGAUACUAGAAAGUCAGAGUCUAGAUUGUGACGCACAUUUACUUGAGAAACUUUUAAAAAUAUUUUUCCUGCUGUGGUAUUUUUGCAUUAUUUACAAAAUUAUUGUGCUGCCAAAGACACUGAAAUACAAUUUUACUAUUGAUGUGCAUAUUCUGAUCAAUACAUAGUGCAGUAACGAGUGAAAAGCUGAAUUUCUUUUUGAAUAUUUAUUUGAAAUAUUAUUGAAAAACCUGAAAAGGACAAAAAAUUAUGUGGUCAGUUGAGUUACAGGUAAUUUAAUAAAGCAGUAGAUGUACAUUAGUACAUAGUGAUACAUUUAUUAAAGGUGUAAUUUGCAUAUGAUGAACAGUUUUUUAGAUUUCAUUGUUAGAAUUAACAGAAAAUUUACAUUUGUAUUUAUAUAUAACACCUUUAUUUGAAGCCACUCAUUUUUCAUGUGAGCACAAGUAUUGUAACAGACAGACGUAAAAUAGAUUAAAGUAAAUAUAACUUUCAAUAACUGCAUCAAGACUGUAACAUUACCAAACAUUUGGAUUCUUCUUCUGUUAAACUUUUUCAGACUUUUACUGCUCUUUAGGGUUUAAGUCUGAAAACUUACUUGUCCAGUCUGAAACUUCCACUUCUUGCUCCUGAUGAACUCCAAUGUUGUUUUUGUUCAUUGUACAUGGAUUUGUAAACAUGCAGCUAGCUUCCUCUGAUUCACUAUCUUCUUUUUCAGAGGACUGUCUACUGUAGUGAAUAUAAUAAAAGUAAAGUUUCAUACAGUAAAUUCAAAUAUUACUUAAAAAAUGGACAGAUUAAAAAAGGAUUUUGGGAAAAUAACGUCCACAUCUUUUAGGGGAUGGCUGUGGUCCAGAAUGACAUCAGCAAAGUGAAGGUCAGAACAGGACUAUACAGUAUUCAUAAUGAAGUGAGAACGACAAAUCAGUCAGAGACCAGAAUAGUCAGUAAGAGAACAGCUGACUGGGAGCAAAACAUCAUAAAACGGUAGUAACAACUUUUUCAAUAUUUAUUACAUUAUGGAAAUCAAUCAGCUGAGUACACUGUAAAUAAAGACACUUGAUCUACAUCAUCAAUAUUUGAGAAACUGUUUUAAGACUCCUGUAUAAUGUUUUGUUAAUGCCGAUUAAAACCUGCAAAUCCAUAAAUGAUGACAGAGGCAUACCAAACACUUUCUGCAAGAGUCAUUGAAUAAAUAAAAUAUAAUAUAAUCAGCUAAUCAGCAACAAAAAAAUGUCUCAUUAAUUAAUAAUUACUUUAAACUACCUAAAGUCAUUCUUACAGAGCAGUCAUUAAGAGAUAAAAAAUGUUAUACUGUAAAGAAACUGAUUUUCAAAUACCUCCAUAAAUAAAUAUGUAAAUAAAUAAAUUAAAAACCCAGUCUCCUUGAUGUUAAUCAAGUUAAUUAAAAAGUGGACCAACAAACAAUUAUUAGUUCCUAUAUUUUUAUUUUUUAACUAUGCAUGUUUAUUAGAAAAAUUACUCUUUCUAUUCACGCCACUGUCAUUAAUGCUGUAGUACCUGCA